UACGUAGGGUGCAAGCGUUGUCCGGAAUUAUUGGGCGUAAAGAGUUCGUAGGCGGUUUGUCGCGUCCGUUGUGAAAACCUGGGGCUCAACCCCGGGCCUGCAGCCGAUACGGGCAAGCUAGAAUUCGGUAGGGGAGACUGGAAUUCCUGGUGUAGCGGUGAAAUGCGCAGAUAUCAGGAGGAACACCGGUGGCGAAGGCGGGUCUCUGGGCCGAUAUUGACGCUGAGGAGCGAAAGCGUGGGGAGCGAACAGG
rnacentral:rRNA from 1 species